rnacentral:tRNA from 1 species
GGGUGGCUCAGUGAUACAGCAUCCGCUUGGCAAGCAGAACAUGCCAAGUUCAAGCCCUGGGAUCACUA